rnacentral:rRNA from 1 species
UGGGGAAUUUUCCGCAAUGGGCGCAAGCCUGACGGAGCAAUACCGCGUGAGGGAGGAAGGCCUUUGGGUUGUAAACCUCUUUUCUUAAGGAAGAAGAACUGACGGUACUUAAGGAAUCAGCAUCGGCUAACUCCGUGCCAGCAGCCGCGGUAAUACGGAGGAUGCAAGCGUUAUCCGGAAUUAUUGGGCGUAAAGCGUCCGCAGGCGGCACUAUAAGUCUGCUGUCAAAGACCGCAGCUCAACUGCGGAAAGGCAGUGGAAACUGUAGAGCUAGAGUACGGUAGGGGUAGAGGGAAUUCCCAGUGUAGCGGUGAAAUGCGUAGAGAUUGGGAAGAAUACCGGUGGCGAAGGCGACCGCCUGGACGGGUACUGACACUGAGGCGCGAAAGCGUGGGGAGCAAACAGGAUUAGAUACCCGUGUAGUCC